CAGGUUUUCGCCUGCGGAGUCGGUCCCUCUCACGCGCCUCCCUGACGGAGGAACCGAGAGCUACGAAGUGACCUGCCCGGGGUCACGUCGUUUAGCCGCGGCAGCCCCUCGGCUCAGCUCAGGCCCGUGUCCCGUCUUCUGCUCUGCCACCGCGGCGCGCCGCCUGGACGCCGGGCACCUCCUCAUCGGGCGUCUCCUGCCCGUCUGGCAGUCGCGCACCGUCCGUACCCACCGAUCGCCGUCGGUGAGCAUCAGCGCCGCGCGGACGCCCGCCCCUCCCGUGGCGCCAGCCACCAGGCCGGCCUUGUCACCGAGUCCGCCUCGCCGCAGCCAGUGCCACGCAGUGCAGUGGACAGUGCCUGGGAGUCGAGGAAUCUGGCAAAAACCUUUUGUAAACAAAGGGCGAUUUCACCACCGUCAGUGACACGGGUCGGAAAAGCCAGUUGGAGGUCCAGACCUGGGUGUGGGUGCUGCAGUUUUCAUUGAGGAUGCACAGAGCACGCCUGGGCAACAGUGGAAGCAGCUGAAGAGCGUAACGGGGACGAUGAGACCUGACCGACUGGAUCCUGUGGAGGGAGCAAGGACACGGGGCAGGCAGACAGGAGGCACCGACGGUGGCCUGGUCCGACAAAAGGAGACCGUGCUGUUCUGGCUAGACGGUUGGGUCAGGGAGGAGGCCGACACAGGGGAGCCUCGGAGGUGGGGACCAGCAGCUGUGCUGAGGCUACAGGUGCUGCCUAACGUAAAAGCGGUCGUUCUCACGGCCAUUAAAUGCCCACCACUUUAGCACUGCUGGUGUGUUGGGCUGUAUGCUAGGUGCGGGCAUAUAAGUGACCUUAGUCGCCUGCGACCUAGGGAUGGAGACCACAGGCUGUUCAUUUUUGCCACAGCAGCCGUGCUCCCUUCUGUAUCAUGUCACUGUUGUCAUGCUGCUCUUAGUGGUUUGGAGUUAGAGAUGAUGAGUCUGUUCUCAGGUCUCAGGUUCUGGGGAGGAUGUGAAAAUGCUCGUGGAGACAGCAGCCCUUUGGGAACAGCCAGGGAUUCAUGGAGCUCCCGCCUGACACGGGACUCAUCCCAAGGCCCUGACUCUGAAGGGGACCUGGGGUUCACACUAAACACCACAGAGACAGUUGGAAGGUGAGAAGCCUCUGCCCUCACCGAGGACAGGGAGCAACAGCGUGUGUUGGAAAUGCAGGUCUCAGCUGCCCCUGGGCUCAGAUGAAGUGCCUUUUGAAAUAUAUCCACAGUAUUUCACAUUUUAGCACUUAAAAUAGGGGUGCAGAUUUUUUUGUCAGUCUGACUCUCCUUCAUUACAGUUUAGUGCUGUCACAGUGACUGUCGUGGGGUGAAGAUGAACACGGUUCCCGUCAGCUUCUGCAAAGCAGUUUCUCACACACCUGAAGGUGUUCCUUCUCCAUCCUAAUCUCUUCCAGAAUCCAUUCUCCUGUUACGUCUGCCUUUCUUCCAAAGCUCAAUUUAUUGUUUUCUCUUAUUUUUUUUAGAAAAAUUUUUUAAUUAAAAAAAUGUCAAAUUAGGUGAAAUUCAUGUAACAUAAAAUUUGCCAUUUUCAAGUGAACAGUUCAGUAGCAUUUAGUGGUGUCACAAUUAGUUAUCAUUCGCACCUCUCUCUAGUUACAAAAUAAGGGAAAUCUAUACCACGAAGCAGUUGUUCCUCAUUCUGUAUGGACCUGCCUGUUUGGACACUGCAUGGAAGUGGAAUCCUACAGUGGGACCUUUCGUGUCUGGCCUCUUCCAUUUAUUAACAUUUGUCAAGCACGUCACUACUUGGUUCCCUUUUCUGGCUCGUGCUCCUCUGCAUGGACAGCCCAAGGCUCUACUCCUGUGUCGCCAUGAUGCACUCUGGCUGCACAGUUCAAGACCGCCUAAGGUCACUGCCUUUAAUGCGCAACUGAAAGCUGCCAUUACAGGUUGCAAGUAAUUUUCAAGAGCCAGCUCAUAACUUUAUACUCAAAUCCUAGAGGAAACAUCCUGUCCUCAUGCUGUUUAAAUCCAUAAGCCUCAGUUCAUGAACUGGAAGUUGUCAGAGGUUUAUUUGCUUUAGUAGUUUUUUAAAGUGCAAUGAAUACUCAUCAAUAUUUUUGUCAACUCUGCCACUUAGCGUUUAUUUCUUCUAAAUCCCUGGCAGCACCUGUGCUCUCUGCAUCUGAUUCUGAGGCUUUGGGUCUAAGUAAAGGGGGGCCAGGACUCACUGUGUUCCAGCUUCUGCUCCCUCUGCUCACCAUGCCCGAGGGCCGCUCAGAUCCCAAGUUAUAACCUCCCCAAGGGUCACAGGCGUCUGAGUGCCCUCCGAAGUCAGUAAUAAGUCAUCAAACGAACAUUUCCUUUACAGAACUGCAAGGUGGGGAUCUGGGAAGACUGUUAUCUUGGUCUGCAGAAAUGAAAGGUUUGAGUUACUGCGGUAUUUUUGAGAAUGAAAAAAAAAUUUUUAAGCUGUUAUGCUAAGAAUCUGGUAAAAGGAACUUCUCCACACACACAGGCCACUGGCUGAGACACCAGCCAGGCCUAGAACUUGAGGGAGCAUCAUACUCACCUGGGGAGCACAUUAGAACAGAUCCCCAGGCCUCACCCGACUUUCUGGUUCACUGGAGUGGAGGAAAGAGGGGAGCUAUUUUACAGGAUUGUUACAGGGGCCAGUCAAAUUAUAGGACCGAAGCAAGUCCCUGUCAUGAACGGACAUCCUUUAGUCCUGCACAGACAACGCUGCUAUUGGGGCAAUACAUACAUGACUGACAGAAAGAGGAGGAGACAGAAGUAUCCUGUACCCAAGUCUGCUGUUCUCUCAAGUCCCUCCUUUCGACCAAGGCUCGCCUAUUCGCUACAUCCGCUUACGUGGCCACAGCUGCCAUGGAUUCCCACAGUAUGGAGCCCAGCCAGCACUACCCUCCUCAUGAGUCAUCCCAUGAGGUAUCAGUGGGAUUCAGGAUAAUUAGGGAGAAAUAAAAAGGGCAUCUUCAGUCCACACUCUACUCGUCCUCCUCACUUGAAGAGGCUGUUUCUUGCACUACAAAGAGUGGAAGAAAUAUUUUGUUUUACGAAAAAUGUCUUCCUAGGAAUGGCUGCAGCUGGUUGUGGCAGAGUUUGAGAAAUUAAGAUGUAACUUCUUGGGCUGCUAAAACCAGCACCAGGAUACUGGGUCCGUGUCGGCCUCCUCCCCGUCUCCCACCCACAGAUAGAGGAGGCGAUGCGAUGAGAUAUUGAAGACCUGAGUGGGCCAGCCAGGGGACUCGAGGCACACCAGCUCAAGAGUGGUGCUGAGAGGGCACCUCUCAUAUUUAUUGAUCAGGCAUCACAUUCUUGAGUGGGUUAACAAGUUUCUAGACACAAUGAUUAACAUGCUUUACUACAGGAAUGUAAUUGCCUCCAGGUCGCUGGGGUAAGUCGUCCCUGGCGCCAGGCAAUGAAGGGGUAGAGAUAACAAGAAACAGAUCUCGGUUUAGAUUUAGUGAGCUGCGGCAUGCACCACAGAUUCCAAGGAAGGCAAUCAAUUCCCACAGAAACAGAAUGAUCUAUGGAUGGCAACCUACAGGUCUGCCCUGUGCAAUGGAUGGGCACUGUUCCCUGGCAGGAGGGCACUGGGGCAACAGAGAGACCAAGAUGCUCCUGGCCAAUCUUGGUACUUCUGUUUUAUGAAAACCUCCACACUUGUCAAUAGAAAGGGCAGAUCUACAGAGCGCUCGGGAACAAUGCUGGGAGCAGGGCUUUCUGUGGACCCCAGAGCAGUGUCACUCCAAGUUCAGAAGCCUGCAGUUGAGUCACGAGCUGGCCAAACCCAGGAUGGCCUUUGGUUUUUCUGCUCCAGAGGCUGGACCAAGAGUCAAGAACAUGCACUAUAGGAGACUGAGUGACAAGAUGAAGCACGGCUUGCCUCUUCCUCUCUUGUCAUGGUGUCAGAACUUCCAAAGAGACAGAAGAGGAAGAUGGGUGGACUUUGGGGUCCAUGUACCCGUGCCCAGAGUUUUGAGCUCAGAUGUGGUACAGGGGGCUCACAACACUUCACUGUCAUUAGCUUCAGGUGGCUGAUCUCGGGAAGAAUUCCGGUUGGGUCUGUCUUUUCUAUGGCUGCUAAACAGCAGCUCCUUCCUCAUCCCAUUGUCCUUCCUUCUCUCCUCUCCACUACAGUGAACUUCUCUUCUUUCAGGCUUUGAGGUCAAGAAUGGGAUUAAGAGAGAAUCCAAAAUUGGAUGCUCACAGGAAGUAGAAACAUGUAUGGUGUUACGGAGAAGGUCUUGUGACAUGUCUGGCAGUCUGAGCUAAAUGGAGCCUGCGGGGUGAGCCAGUAUCCAGAAGGUGCCACAAACAUUCUCCAGGGGAGCGAGGAGACACGCCGGGAAAGCAUGAGUCGCCAGACUUGGCACUGGGGAGCAGGCAGCGCCUCUCCUGUGAGGAGAAACUGCCCUCAGAGUUCUGCCCUCACGACCAGCCACCCCCGAACUGGAAAAAGCUUCUAAAUGUUACGAAUGUGGGAAGAGCUUUAGGCAAGGUUCUCACCUAGUUGGUGAUCAGAAUACACACAGGAGAGACCCGAGUGCUGUGAAUGUGGGAAAGAAUUUAGAGAGCGCUGCUCCCUCACUGCCCACCCGCGAAUGCACACCGGGAAGAGGCCCUCCCAGGGUGGGGAGGGUGGGAAAAGCCUCCACCAGAGCUCCAGCCUCACGGUCCCCCCAGGACCCACAUAGGGAGGAGCCGUCUCAGUGCACCAUCUGUGGGAAGACUCACAUCAGCUCCCAGGUCAGCGCUCACCAGCGAGGCCACCCUGGGGAGAGCCGAACCAGGCCUGGGCAGUGUGGGAAAACCUUCCCCAGCAGCACCCACUCACGCUGGGGGAAGAUUUCAGGGGCUCUCAGUGUGAGCAAAGCUCGGUAAAGAACUCCACCCUGACCCGCCAUCGGGCUACACAGAACACUCGCAUCCCAGGAAGAGAUGCGCUGUGAGCUAUAGGAAGCCUCACAGGUCCCAUCCUCAGGCCCACAUGCAUUCCUAGAGCUUCCCACUGUUUGUGCAGAACUGGUUAAUCGUUGCCAGGCUGAGCAGUAGGCUCUACUGUCAGCCUACUGGAGAACCAUGUCCAAGAGCAGGAGUCAGUGUAAGGAUGCUGCAUCUCACCAGCUCUGCCUGUGCCCAGAGUCCCAUCUCGCUGUGACCUUCUGUUCUGCUUUGAAGGGCAGAGGCUGUGGGACCCAUAUGUCCUCCUGGAAUACCAGGGUACCCUUGUUCUGAACAGAGUAUGGGAGGCUAGUGGCCUGUGCAAAGUCAGAGCAGACAUUCUCCCCUCAUGGGAAACACAUCUAGAAGCUAACAGGCGGGAUGUGUUUUCAUCCAGUACCUGACCUCUAGGCACCUCCUGCUGGACAGCAGCGCUACCCUCAGGCCACAUCUCUGCUCUGUGUCCCCAUCAACAACUACAAGGGGACGAAGGAGAGGAUGGGUUGAGCUACCGGGAAAUACUGAACCUAAGCGACUAACCCUUGAGCAACUGUAAUAUCCACAUUCAUCUCCCUGCACCCUACCAUCCCCAUUCCCGGUGUCGGGUCUCUCAUACUAAAGGUUUCUACAAGUGUAAAAGCACUGCUCUUUCUGACGAAAAUAAAGCUGCUUCUGUCCCCA